rnacentral:rRNA from 1 species
UGGGGAAUAUUGGACAAUGGACCAAGAGUCUGAUCCAGCAAUUCUGUGUGCACGAUGAAGUUUUUCGGAAUGUAAAGUGCUUUCAGUUGGGAAGAAGAAAGUGACGGUACCAACAGAAGAAGCGACGGCUAAAUACGUGCCAGCAGCCGCGGUAAUACGUAUGUCGCAAGCGUUAUCCGGAUUUAUUGGGCGUAAAGCGCGUCUAGGCGGCAUAGUAAGUCUGAUGUGAAAAUGCGGGGCUCAACUCCGUAUUGCGUUGGAAACUGCUAUGCUAGAGUACUGGAGAGGUAAGCGGAACUACAAGUGUAGAGGUGAAAUUCGUAGAUAUUUGUAGGAAUGCCGAUGGGGAAGCCAGCUUACUGGACAGAUACUGACGCUAAAGCGCGAAAGCGUGGGUAGCAAACAGG